rnacentral:rRNA from 1 species
UUUGGUUAAGUUAGAAAGGGCGCACGGUGGAUGCCUUGACACUAGGAGUCGAUGAAGGACGGGACUAACGCCGAUAUGCUUCGGGGAGCUGUAAGUAAGCUUUGAUCCGAAGAUUUCCGAAUGGGGAAACCCACUAUACGUAAUGGUAUGGUAUCCUUACCUGAAUACAUAGGGUAUGGAAGACAGACCCAGGGAACUGAAACAUCUAAGUACCUGGAGGAAGAGAAAGCAAAUGCGAUUUCCUGAGUAGCGGCGAGCGAAACGGAACAUAGCCCAAACCAAGAGGCUUGCCUCUUGGGGUUGUAGGACAUUCUAUACGGAGUUACAAAGGAACGAGGUAGACGAAGCGACCUGGAAAGGUCCGUCGUAGAGGGUAACAACCCCGUAGUCGAAACUUCGUUCUCUCUUGAAUGUAUCCUGAGUACGGCGGAACACGUGAAAUUCCGUCGGAAUCUGGGAGGACCAUCUCCCAAGGCUAAAUACUCCCUAGUGAUCGAUAGUGAACCAGUACCGUGAGGGAAAGGUGAAAAGCACCCCGGAAGGGGAGUGAAAGAGAUCCUGAAACCGUGUGCCUACAAAUAGUCAGAGCCCGUUAAUGGGUGAUGGCGUGCCUUUUGUAGAAUGAACCGGCGAGUUACGAUCCCGUGCAAGGUUAAGCUGAAGAGGCGGAGCCGCAGCGAAAGCGAGUCUGAAUAGGGCGUUUAGUACGUGGUCGUAGACCCGAAACCAGGUGAUCUACCCAUGUCCAGGGUGAAGUUCAGGUAACACUGAAUGGAGGCCCGAACCCACGCACGUUGAAAAGUGCGGGGAUGAGGUGUGGGUAGCGGAGAAAUUCCAAUCGAACCUGGAGAUAGCUGGUUCUCCCCGAAAUAGCUUUAGGGCUAGCCUUAAGUGUAAGAGUCUUGGAGGUAGAGCACUGAUUGAACUAGGGGUCCUCAUCGGAUUACCGAAUUCAGUCAAACUCCGAAUGCCAAUGACUUAUCCUUAGGAGUCAGACUGCGAGUGAUAAGAUCCGUAGUCAAGAGGGAAACAGCCCAGAUCGCCAGCUAAGGUCCCAAAGUGUGUAUUAAGUGGAAAAGGAUGUGGAGUUGCUUAGACAACUAGGAUGUUGGCUUAGAAGCAGCCACCAUUUAAAGAGUGCGUAAUAGCUCACUAGUCGAGUGACUCUGCGCCGAAAAUGUACCGGGGCUAAAUACACCACCGAAGCUGCGAAUUGAUACCAAUGGUAUCAGUGGUAGGGGAGCGUUCUAAGUGCAGCGAAGUCAGACCGGAAGGACUGGUGGAGCGCUUAGAAGUGAGAAUGCCGGUAUGAGUAGCGAAAGACGGGUGAGAAUCCCGUCCACCGAAUGCCUAAGGUUUCCUGAGGAAGGCUCGUCCGCUCAGGGUUAGUCAGGACCUAAGCCGAGGCCGACAGGCGUAGGCGAUGGACAACAGGUUGAUAUUCCUGUACCACCUCUUUAUCGUUUGAGCAAUGGAGGGACGCAGAAGGAUAGAAGAAGCGUGCGAUUGGUUGUGCACGUCCAAGCAGUUAGGCUGAUAAGUAGGCAAAUCCGCUUAUCGUGAAGGCUGAGCUGUGAUGGGGAAGCUCCUUAUGGAGCGAAGUCUUUGAUUCCCCGCUGCCAAGAAAAGCUUCUAGCGAGAUAAAAGGUGCCUGUACCGCAAACCGACACAGGUAGGCGAGGAGAGAAUCCUAAGGUGUGCGAGAGAACUCUGGUUAAGGAACUCGGCAAAAUGACCCCGUAACUUCGGGAGAAGGGGUGCUUUCUUAACGGAAAGCCGCAGUGAAUAGGCCCAAGCGACUGUUUAGCAAAAACACAGCUCUCUGCGAAGCCGUAAGGCGAAGUAUAGGGGGUGACACCUGCCCGGUGCUGGAAGGUUAAGGAGAGGGGUUAGCGUAAGCGAAGCUCUGAACUGAAGCCCCAGUAAACGGCGGCCGUAACUAUAACGGUCCUAAGGUAGCGAAAUUCCUUGUCGGGUAAGUUCCGACCCGCACGAAAGGUGUAACGAUUUGGGCACUGUCUCAACCAGAGACUCGGUGAAAUUAUAGUACCUGUGAAGAUGCAGGUUACCCGCGACAGGACGGAAAGACCCCGUGGAGCUUUACUGUAGCCUGAUAUUGAAUUUUGGUACAGUUUGUACAGGAUAGGCGGGAGCCAUUGAAACCGGAGCGCUAGCUUCGGUGGAGGCGCUGGUGGGAUACCGCCCUGACUGUAUUGAAAUUCUAACCUACGGGUCUUAUCGACCCGGGAGACAGUGUCAGGUGGGCAGUUUGACUGGGGCGGUCGCCUCCUAAAGUGUAACGGAGGCGCCCAAAGGUUCCCUCAGAAUGGUUGGAAAUCAUUCGUAGAGUGCAAAGGCAUAAGGGAGCUUGACUGCGAGACCUACAAGUCGAGCAGGGACGAAAGUCGGGCUUAGUGAUCCGGUGGUUCCGCAUGGAAGGGCCAUCGCUCAACGGAUAAAAGCUACCCCGGGGAUAACAGGCUUAUCUCCCCCAAGAGUCCACAUCGACGGGGAGGUUUGGCACCUCGAUGUCGGCUCAUCGCAUCCUGGGGCUGUAGUCGGUCCCAAGGGUUGGGCUGUUCGCCCAUUAAAGCGGUACGCGAGCUGGGUUCAGAACGUCGUGAGACAGUUCGGUCCCUAUCCGUCGUGGGCGUAGGAAAUUUGAGAGGAGCUGUCCUUAGUACGAGAGGACCGGGAUGGACGCACCGCUGGUGUACCAGUUGUUCUGCCAAGGGCAUAGCUGGGUAGCUAUGUGCGGAAGGGAUAAGUGCUGAAAGCAUCUAAGCAUGAAGCCCCCCUCAAGAUGAGAUUUCCCAUAGCGUAAGCUAGUAAGAUCCCUGAAAGAUGAUCAGGUUGAUAGGUUCGAGGUGGAAGCAUGGUGACAUGUGGAGCUGACGAAUACUAAUAGAUCGAGGACUUAACCAUAUAA